UACGAAGGGGGCUAGCGUUGCUCGGAAUCACUGGGCGUAAAGCGCACGUAGGCGGAUUUCUAAGUCAGGGGUGAAAUCCUGGAGCUCAACUCCAGAACUGCCUUUGAUACUGGGAAUCUCGAGUCCGGGAGAGGUGAGUGGAACUGCGAGUGUAGAGGUGAAAUUCGUAGAUAUUCGCAAGAACACCAGUGGCGAAGGCGGCUCACUGGCCCAUAACUGACGCUGAGGCACGAAAGCGUGGGGAGCAAACAGG
rnacentral:rRNA from 1 species